GUAUCUCCAAUACUGAAAGUUUUUCCUUCUGCUAUGAAGUAAAUACAACCACGAUUUGGUACCUCAUCUGAGACACAAUGAAUUAGUAUUCAAUGGAGUAGCCAGUAACCUGUCGGGAAAUUCAAUCACACUUUCACCACGACCACCCCUGCCUUAAAAUGCUCGUUGUCUUGUUAUUUGGCUAGGAGCUUCAGUCUUUACACCCGAACGUGAAUCGGCUUAUUAGG
rnacentral:lncRNA from 1 species